CCGGCGACGAGAGACAUGUAGGAAGUGAACCUGAAGCCGGACACAUUCAGGGUCUGGGAACCGAAAAUAAUAGGAAUUGUUCUGAUUUUUCCAAUGGAAUCGAGCAAGAGACAGGGCCCGCCUCUUUGCAGAACCAAGGAUUCCUAUGCUUUACCCUUUCUUAUGAGAAGGGCGAGAAGAGGAAAAAUAAUGACAAAGAGAGAUGAGAACAAACAAAGGUUAAAUGAACGGUGGGCAGCUGAUCCCUCCGGAGCUGGCCAAUGUCACCGACCAGUGUUGGGAAAAGAGUGGCAUUAAAAUGAAGCAUGAUCACACCCGACCAGUGCUUCCUGUUCACAGCCUUUCCUUUGUUCCAUCAAUAUCAUUCAGCAGAUCAUAUUGAGAAUAAAUUAUUAUAAUGGUGGCUAAUGUGUAUUGAGGGUCCAUGCCAAGUACGCUGAUCUCUUGAUGUGCACUGUGUUAUUCAAUAUUCACAAUAGCCUGAGAAAGUAGCUAUCGUGAUCAUGCCCAUUUCACAGAUGAGCAAAGUCACUGAGUGAAAGUCACUGACAUUCUUCCUUCAGAACACAGUGAACCCUAACCAAAUAAAUGUUAACUCUGGGCUUUUCGAAGGCCAGACUCCAUCACUUUUGUGAUAAAUUCUGGCUCGUGUUUACUCCCCAUGUCUCCUCCCAUCCUCCUACCCACGCCUCACUCAGCUCCAAUUCUGAAGUGUCCCAAUAUGUGGUUCAUAAAUGACCUUCCCUCCAUAACUAUAUCCCUUACACGUCCAUCAGGAAAAUACAGUCACCGCACGCCUGGGCCCUGGGUCACCCUAACAGAGAUCUGACAUGGCUGAGGCCAAGGGGCCCUCUUGGCCUCCUCUGGUGAGACUGUGGCAUGCUGGCCUGGCUGUGUGACAUGGUAGCCUAGCCAAGAGAGCAAGAGGCUGGCCUGCUGAGAAGGGGUUCACAUUAGGAACCAUUUAUAAAAAAAAAAAAAAAAAGUGGAAUGAAACAUAUUUGACCUGGGAAGAAAUAGAAGACCUCUCAAGUUGCCAAAGUGACGAAUUAGACAGGGAGGCAGAGCAAAUGUGAACUCCUGGGGAGUCCGUCAGAGGAGCCCAGAUGGAAUAGACCAGGCCGACGUGGUGGGAGGAACGGAGGCAGGAUGAUUUAUCCAGGUUGGAUUGGGAGACCCGUCAGAGCACUCCACAGAGCUAGACACAGUCCACCCUUUGUACCCUAUUUCUCUAACUCGUCAAUUUUAUAGCCACAUUACCUUCCGAGUGGGCAGGAAAGCAGAUAUUGGUGCCAUCACAGGCCUGGCUGUGGUUUGCACAGCAUAAUGACAGAUGCCAAAAACAAAGGGGAGGGGAGAGGGCACUUGAGAGACCACAAAAGAGCCUUUAUAAUUAUGCCUCUUCCUCCUUCGGGAGCCUGCCUCUCUCUCUCGCUCGCUCUCGCUCUCGCUCUCCCUCUCCCUCCCCGCGGAGGUGCCAGGCUGGCUGCAGCGGUGCUGUCCUCCCGGAUGCGGAUGCGCGCUGGGCAGCUGCCUAGCACGCGUCUAUUAAUAACCGUGCAUGGACUUGAAGGCAGCUAUUCCGUCCCGCCUCUCUUCUCCAGGCUAAAGAGCGGCAAUCCCUUUAACCUUUCUUCAUGGGCCCGAUUUUCCAUCCCUUUAAUCAUCCCUGUCACUUUCUGCUGGAUGGCCUCCACUCUCACCACAUCCCUCCCCGGGGUGGAGACUCCGAGCGAGCUGGGAUAAUGGGCCUCCCGCCUCAAGAGCUGUUCCUUUCCCACCGCACUGCAGCCCCCCAGGCUGAGUUACUGCCCUUCAGGACACAACUGGAGCGCGGCCCGCCCCGUGUGGAUGUUCCCCUCGACCAGAAAGUCACUAACAUCCAACCGUCUGCUCGGAGGGGAUUCCCACUGUUCACUGCCCCACCCCGCCGCCUAUCCUGUGGACCCUGAGAACAGCCCCCCAGCCACAUUCCCUGUGGCCACUUGCACCCCCACCCCACCCCGCCAAAACAGUAAAAAAACAGCUUUAGAAACAACUUUUAAAAUCAAAUGUCAUUUUUAUCACGUCCCUCCUCUACCCAAGAGCCCUUAGUAGCUAGCUCACUGUUGCUUUCUGAUUCAGUGAAUGGAAACAUUUGCCAGAUUCUGGGUCCAGAUUCCUCUCCCCACCCCCCCUCUGCCUAUAUCCAGAUCCUCAUUCAAAAAGAUUUCCCUAGUUAAUUUUCUCAUUCUGGCUACACCUUUACCAGCCACCCCCAUCCCCACAAUGUCUUGUUAGAUACUGUUUUGGGUGGGCUAAAUUAUAUGUAUAUAUAUACAAAUUUACAUACAUACAUAUUCACAUGCAUACAUAUUUACAUACACACACAUAUAUGUAUAUAGAAUAUAUGUAAUUUUAUUUAUUAUUAUUAUCUAUAAUACAUAUGGAUUAGGCUUCUUUGACAGGAAACAAACUCUUACAGGUUUAAGGAACAGAAAGGGCUAGAUUGGUAAUUAAAGGCAUAGUUCACAGAAUUAAAGAUGGGGUUGAACCACAGGCCUAGGAAAGGGCAGAACAGGGCAGCUCUGAGGUCUUUCUAGAAGACCGUCAUCAGGUAAUCAGCUCCAACUCUUUUCCAUCCUUACUUAACUUUGCUUAACAUUCAGAGUUUCAGGACCUAGAAUUUACAAAAGAUUGUGAGGGGGUGGGGAAUCCUGUGAUUGGCCACACACCCCCUUUCCCCCCCCCCCCAAAAACACACAGGGUGGGGGAGAGUUGCCAGGUUUAGCAAGUAGAAAUGUAAAAUGCCCAGCUCAGGGCUCCUGGGUGGCUUGGCUGGUUAAGCUUCUGGACUUCGGCUCAGAUCCUGAUCUCAUGGGUCUGUGAGUUCGAGCCCCACGUCGGGCUCUGGGCUGACAGCUCAGAGCCUGGAGCCUGCUUCGGAUUCUGUGUCUCCCUCUCUCUCUCUGCUCCUCCCCUGCUCGCUCACUCUCUCUCUCUCUCUCUCUCUCUCUCAAAAAAAUGAAAUAAACAUUAAAAAUAUUAAAAUGCCCAGCUUGAUUUGAAUUCCAGAUAAACAAGGCCUAAUUGUCAUAAAUCUAUGCCAAGCAGUACUUCCUGAGUUUGUCUUCCCAUUCUUGCCCUCCCCCAGUCCUACUCCACAGCCCCUAGGUGGGCGUUCCCUCAGACCAGGGCCUGCAUCCCCUCUAACUGCCACAAUACCUGGCGGUACCUCACACCUAACAAAUUUCUUUCGUCCAUCCUCAAGGUGACUGUGGCUGUUAGUUCUUUCUCUUUAAUUUUAAUAACCCAGCUUACCUCACCUCAAAACUACAUAUUAACUGACACAGAUAAAAAGGCUAAUGUGCCCUUGGCAAUCAUUAUUAUUUAUUUCCUCUUUACCUCUCUUGAGGAAAACCCAACUUUCUUUGCCUUCUCUCUUUUGCCGAAUACUUUGAAAAUAGCCCUGGCGACACUGAGCAUCUGUAUAACUUUUUACAGCUUAACGUGCAUUUACACAUUCAUCGUUUUAUUCAGCGUCAUAAAUUAGCAUAAUUAGUGACUUAAGUGGUCAGUUGGCACGGGUAAUACGGUCUCCCAUUUCGUGGAUGAGAAAUUAAAACUUUGAAAGGGAGAUUAUAAAAACUAGUGUGGAUACAAAGUUGUUUGUUCCAAAGCUUAGAACGAUGUGGAUGAGUUCUUUCCUCUACAUCGGGGGUUAGCAAACUUUGUCUGUAAAGGAGACACAGUAAAUAUGUCAAGCUUUGUACACCAUAUGAACUCUGUCACAACUACUCAAGUCUGCCACUGUAACACGAACGCAGCCAUAGUUAAUACAUAAAUGAAUGGAUGUAUGUUCCAAUAAACUGUAUUCACGGAAAAGGUCACCGGCCAUAUGUAGCCCACAAGCUGUAUUUGCUAACUAUCCUCUCCUCUGCACAACACAGUAAGUGAGCACUCUUUAAUCUUUAUGAAUCUAUCAAAGUUUGCCUCCCGUUGGGAUGCCAUGAUUUUGAUCUGUUCAAUAUUAGAUCAUUCUACUACUUUUCUCUCUCCUUACCUCUUACGUGUCAGUAUUGUUUGGACAAUAACUGACUUGACUUCCCACAACCCCCUGAUCUCUCUCCUCCACCGUGGCAAAGUUUUCUCUUGCGCUAUGAACAUGCCCCGUUAAGCUCAUCCUUCCUCCCCUGGAUCCUUCUUUACCUGCGUGUGAGAUCAGUUCUGACAGGCCUUGUGAGGAGGCACCUUUCUGAGACAGAGCUUCCCCCGAGGCCCCCAGGAUCAACCAGGAUAAAUCUGCCACCCCGCUUCCCCUCACUCUGGGUUUCGUGGGCCUCAUCCUUUGGGCCUUUUCCAAGUUUGUCCCCAGAAAACUCAUGUACUGGAAAGGUAAGUUCACUGUCAGGUUUGCCUACAGCCCUCUUCAGCUCUGGUCCACGGAAGACAGAGACUAUUCAGUCCAUCUUCUGCCAGCAGAGUGGGAAGACUGGCUUAAAUGCUCCUUCCAGGGAGAGCAGGAACUCCCUACAGCACACCAGCUAGUUUGGUUUAUACCCUUCACUGUUGAUAGAUCUGGGACAGUGAGGGGUGGGAACUGUGUGUAAACAGCAUUCUCCUGGGCUUAGGUGACUGGGGUUGCAAAUCCUCAGGCAUGGUGAUUGACCACCUGGACCAGAUUCUACAUUGUAGGAACCAGUGGGAAGUGACUGGUACCUCACUAAGGUCGUCCAGGUCUUUAAGUGGGUUUCUAGACGCAUGUGUGUGUACACACCGGGCAUAAAGUCGAAAAAGAUUCUAGAGAUCAUGUUACUCAAACCCCUCAUUUACGAAUAAGGAAACCAAAAUCCCUGAGAAAUCACCUCAGUCUAUCGUGAUGGCAAGAGAUAAGGAUCCACAUCGUCUUUACAAAUCAUAUCCAUAAAGAUGGUGAUGAACUCGAUCAAUGAAACUAAAAUUUAUAACCAUAAAGCUUUCCUUGAAGGUCAGUACAUUUUAUUUUAAAUGUGAAGCAGAAAACAUGCUCAGCCAAGCACACCCAAAAAAACUAUGAUGACAGCAACUUUUUCAGAAGUAAUUGAGAUUUGGCCUCUCAAAGCUUCCGUGUGUUCCGAAGGUGGGGUUCCCUGGGAACACCAACGAUCCCCUCCAACUUUCUUCAUAAAAUCUCCAAAAGGGUCAAGAGAGGCCACAAAGAGUAGAGAGUUCAAGUAACGCUUGGGAUCUGAAUGCCCUGAUUCCACCAUUUAGAAGCUGUGUAACCUUGAGCAGAUAACUUAUUUUUCUAAACCUCGUUUCUCAUCUGUAAAAGAAGGGUAAUAUUAGUACUUAUCUUGAAGAGGUGACGUAAUAAUCAAAUGAGAUAAUGUAUACAGAGUGUCUGAUAUAGUCUGACUUAAUAGUAACCAUUCAACAUUCACUAUUGUUCUAACAUUGACAGUCUUAGGCUUUUUGCUUAAAGCCCAACUCUAAUUUUGAGUUGACCACUCUGUCUACUUUUUAUACUGUGAAACAGGGAUAGUAAUUUAGCAGGAGAGUGGGAUAAUUACAAGUUAGUUAUGACCUGGGGAAACAGAUCUGGCUCCUUGCCCAGACUACAAUCUGGCCUGAAUGACCUCCAGGCUAAGAGACGAGGUACUGUCCUGAGCUGAGUCCCCUCGGAGGGCAUGGCCUCCAAGCCAGGACUCAGGACCCCUGGAAGAAGUAAGGCAGAAGUUCAGAGAAUUAGGGACAUGUGAAAAAGGCUAAUGCACAGUUUUCUUGGCGGAUUAUCUUUCUGGCAUUACGAUUUUUGAGUUAAAUUUUGUCCGCCUUUGAAAGUCCCGCAAGGUGAGGGCAAGGGAAUUCCUUGGAAUUCCAGGGAAUUCCUAUAACAAAAAGACAAAAGGGGUCAAGAUAGCUCCCUGAUAAGGGUCAUACCUCAGGGAUACCUCAGGAGACCAGACUGUAGUAUUUGCAGCAUCUCCAAACCAUUAAAAAGAAAUAAAGAAAGACAAAGAAAAAAAAGACUCCCUACAGCUUCAUCUUCUGGUGAUGGAAGAAAUGUGCUAGACAAAACAACUCUUUCUCCUUUUCCCUGGGUUACUUGGUAGCAGCAGAAAACACUUGACCAAAAGUUCCAGGAGGGCUUGAUAUCGGCUUUGAAAAGUACAAAUUCCCACAACAAUCAGGGACUAAAGUAGCAAUAUUUUAGCCUUUCACAGGAAUCUGGUUAUUAUUACCAUUAAUGCCAAGUAUCUUGUUUCUAUUCUUUUUGAUUUAAGGUAAUUUUCUUUGUAAAAGGCCCGCUUUGUUAAGCUCUCCACGAUUAUGUUGGCUUUGGGAGAAAAAGAACUAGGCAUGGGAGGAAAGUAUCGUGUUGUACCGAAACUUUAGAGGACCUGGUUGUGAAGAGCCCCUCUGUUUUGGCUCUGAAACUGAUGCGGUUCUCCAGUCUUCGUUUUCUAAUUCAGGGCGCUAAUUUAAGCAUCGUCCACUCUGAUGGUGAUGUCUUUACUUGGACAUGACAGUUUCCAAGGAAGGUCUCCAGAAGACUGCACCUACCUGGUCAGGCCUGGCGAUGAUGCCAGAAGAGACCCAAGUCAAUGUUCACAUCUAGAAAGAGACCCCAUGACUCAGGGUCCAUCUUGUAGACAAUGAAGAAGGACAGAUAUUAAAAAGUGAAAUAUUGGGGCCCCUGGGUGGCUCAGUCAGUUAAGCGUCUGACUCUUGAUUUCAGCUCAGGUCAUGAGCUCAUGGUUCGUGAGUCCGAGCCCCAUGUCUGCACUCUUAGUGCAGAGCCUGCUUGGGGUUCUCUCUCUCCCUCUCUCUCUGUGCUCCACAACCCCCCCCCCCCAACCAAACAUUUGCAUGCUUGCUCUCUCUCUCAAAAUAAAUAAAUAAAGUUGUUGGUUUUUUUUUUUUUUAAGUGAAAUAUCUAGCUCAGUGGUUUUCAACUGGGGGCAAUUUUGCCCCCCCCCCCAGGGGACAUUCAACAAUGUAUGAAGACAUUUAUGGUUAUCAAAACUUUGGGGGAUGGGUGGGUCCUACUGGCAUCUAGUGGGUAGAAGCCAGAGACGCUGCUAAACAUCUUACGAAACACAGGAUGGGACCGCUGGCAAAGGCUUCUCCAGCCCCAAAUGUCAAUAGUGCUGAGGCUGAGGAAUGCUGAGACAGAGACACAGAGAGCCCUGCAUGGGCUGGGCCCUGCCCACCUCCCUCUCCAUAUUUUGCCCCAUUCCCACCCACUCCCUUAACUCCAGCCACACAAACAAACUUCCAGUUCUUGACUGCACUGUGUUCCCUCAGCACAUUCUGAUCCCUCUGCCUGCCAGGACCUACCCUCUCAUCCCCCAGAUUUCACCCAAUAGAUACCUUCUUGGGAAGCCCUGUGAGCAAGACUAAGUCAAGUCCCCCAUUCCUUGCUCUCUCCUCUUUACUCUUUUUUUUUCCAAGGGUUUUCAAAGCAUCUUCAUGGCUUUUUCAGAACUCUCCAAGCUCCCUGCCUCUUGGCUGCUAAGCUCAUGGGUUACCAGCACCAACUGCAGCCGAAUAGCUAGUGUUGGAGUCCCCACUCGGGCGUAUUCUGGUUGUGGGACCUUGGACAAAUCAUCUGACUUCUCUGUGUCAGUUUUCUUACCUCCAACAUGAAGGUAAUAACUGUAGCUAGCCUCUAGGGAAGCCGUGAGGAUUAAAUGAGAGAUUAGAACAGUCAGGCCCAUCGUGAGUAUCACAUAGAAGUUCACUAUAAUUAUUAUUUCAGGAAUUAAAACUGCUCUUCUGAGAUGUUGAGCUCCAUGAUAAGAAAGAUACACAGUAUUUUCUCUUCCCAGCAGCAUGGCCCUCAUGCUGUCUUUUCUCUACCAGAGAAAUCAAAGCUCAAAUCAUUUAAGGCAGGGGAGUCAAAAUCAAUGCCUCGUGUUUACAGAUAAAGAAAUGGAGACCCAGAGAGGUUAAGGGACUUGGAAAAAUCACAUGGCAGAUUCCUUUCUACCUGAUCAAUCUCUCUCUCUCUCUCUCUCUCCCCCCACCCUCAGUCUUUCCCUCCCUACCUCCCACAACCAUCUCUCCUCCCCAGCCCCCUUUUGAGGCGAUAACUGGUACAAUUCCUGAUCUACACUAAACGAAUAUCCCAUAGCAACUAUCUCCGUCUGAAUACAGGUCCCUGCUCCCCAGCCUUUCUACAAAAGACCUGGGGGUUAUAAAAAUCCAAGCUUAUCAGAACAAAGCACACCAAACAGAACACAGUAAGGUUUCCAACUAGAGAUUUAAGGUGCUUAUACAACAGCCUAAAAGAGAAAAUCUAGACCUGACAAAAAAAAAAAGUAGACCAAAGGCAAAUAAUAACCUAAAUAAAUUAAGAAAACACUGAGGCAGUCUCCAGAAGUUUUUUUGCCAUUACGUCACUGAUCCUGAGACAGGGCUGUGGAAUGUCUCCCCAGGCUUUUACGGGCAGGGCCACAUCUCAUUUGUUUGAACUCCCUCAAAGCCUAUUUGACUCUUUGACACCCUCCCAGCCUCUUGUGACUGUUCUUAUUCUUUUUCCAGUCCCUACAGGUUUCUGUAAGCUCGCUUUUUGCCAACACCGGGGUGUUUUAGCCCAAAUUGAUGCUGAGAUCAAUUGGAGAGGAGUGUGGUGAUCUCACUCAUGGAGAGGAGUGAGAUCUCAUGGAGAUCUCAUGGAGAGGAGUAUGGUGUCCACACUGUGGAAUGACAAUGGCCUCUGACCUCUUGGUCUGGCCACACCUGAGGAACCCAGCUCUGUCAGGGGUCCUACUCUUUCAGAAGGACAUGAACAAACUGGAACAGCACGAAAGAAAAACAAUUAAGAUAAGACACUUCAUCAUGUGAAGGACAAGAGGGCAGAGAAGACUUAGGAAGGGGCAUAAGAGCUUAGGCAAACUGAAGGGCAUUUCAGAAUGAACUAAUGUGAACUUCUGAUUCCUCUACCAAUCCAUAAAAAUACUAGUAAAAUAUAGCAAAAAAAUUUUAUAAAUAUAGCUAAGCUCAUAAAUAUAAAGUAAAAUCUCUACGUACCAGGAAAGGCAAAAAGACAAAUAGAGGAAAGGAAGGGAAGGGAAGGGAAGGGAAGGGAAGGGAAGGGAAGNNNNNNNNNNNNNNNNNNNNNNNNNNNNNNNNNNNNNNNNNNNNNNNNNNNNNNNNNNNNNNNNNNNNNNNNNNNNNNNNNNNNNNNNNNNNNNNNNNNNNNNNNNNNNNNNNNNNNNNNNNNNNNNNNNNNNNNNNNNNAGGAGGGGGAGGGGAGGGGGAAGCAAGGGAGAGGAGGGGAGGGGAGGAGAGAGGGGGGGAAAGGAGGGGAAGGAGGAACUUACAGUCAGAGUGGCAAGCUUCAGCUGAUGCCUCAGUGGUCCAGGAAAAUAUUGGCCCAAAUAUAGGCCCCAUAUGGCUAGAGGUUGGGGUUUUAGCACACACAAAAGAACAAAAUCUUCUAGAUUUUGAGAAUCUAGAAGAAUGAAGUAGAGCCCCAGGAGGAUAGUUGCUUCCUUGAGGCAUUACUGCCAGGCCCAGAGAAACCCCAAUGAUGUGUGCCUCUUUCCAGACUUGCAAGUAGAGAAACAAAAUUACCCCAAAGAAACAAAUCGUCAAAUCAGCACCAAACAUAAGCGUGUUCUCUAAAUUGAUACUCUUUACUGGUAGAUUAGUCAAGGUUCCCCAGAGAAACAAAAAUAAUAGGAUGUGUAUAUCCAGAGAGAUUGGUUUAUUUUAAGGAAUUCGCUCAGGGAACUGUAAGGAUGCACAAAUCUGAAAUUUGCAGGGCAGGCCAACAGGCUAGAGGCCCAGGGAAAUGUUUACAGAGCGGCUUGAGGCUAAGGCAGUCUGGAAGCAGAAUUUCUUCUUCCUCAGAGGACUUCAGUUUUUGUUUGUUUGUUUGUUUGUUUGUUUUUUCUCCUAAGGCCUUCAACUGAUUGGGUGAGGCCCACUCACAUUAUGGAGAGUAAUCUGCUUAACUCAAAGUCUACUUUAUUUUAAUGUUAAUCUCACUUAAAAAUCACCGCAACAUUUAGACUGCUAUUUGAGGAAAAACUGGGUACUAUGGCCUAGCCAAGUUGGCACGUAAAAUUUGGUAUGUGAAUUGCAAACCAGAAAGUUUAUAAAAGAAAUUGGUCCUGGACUGCUCCCUGGAGUAGAACAAUGGAAAAGUCCGCAGAGACUCCUCCUUGUUCCAAAGGGAAAACAACAGCUAAAGAUGUACUCACAACCAAAAAUUAUAAACCACCAUAAGGAAGACUGGAUUAUCACCUCAAGAAUUUAAAAGAAAAGAACAGGGGUGUUUGGGUGGCUCAGUCAGUUAAGCAUCCGACUUCAGCUCAGGUCAUGAUCUCAUAGCUUGAGCCCUGUGUUGAGCUCUGUGCUGACAGCUCAGCCUGGAGCCUGCUUCAAAUUCUGUGUCUUCCUCUCUCUGCCCCUCCCCCACUCGUUCUCUCUCUCUCUCUCUCUCUCUCUCUCUCUCUCUCAAAUAAAAAAAAUUAAAAAAUUUUUAAAAAUAAAAUAACAAUUGGAAAGAAACCAUAACAUGUUUAAAAUGUUAAAGAAAAGGGGCGCCUGGGUGGCGCAGUCGGUUAAGCGUCCGACUUCAGCCAGGUCACGAUCUCGCGGUCCGUGAGUUCGAGCCCCGCGAGUUCGAGCCCCGCGUCAGGCUCUGGGCUGAUGGCUCAGAGCCUGGAGCCUGUUUCCCAUUCUGUGUCUCCCUCUCUCUCUGCCCCUCCCCCGUUCAUGCUCUGUCUCUCUCUGUCCCAAAAAUAAAUAAAAACGUUGAAAAAAAAAAUUUAAAAUGUUAAAGAAAAGAAUGACUAGAAACCAUAAGGAACAUUAAACACUGUUUUUAAAAAAAGGAACUAGAAACAAGAACUUCUAGAAAUAAAAGGUAAGGAAGGAUUGAGUAAACCACGUAUUAGACAAAAGGGAAGAGAGACUCAAUCAAGAAAGGGAUCUUAGAAAAUUAUCCAUAUCGCCUCAUUAACAUAACAAAAGACCGGUUCCCCGCUCUCAUUACUUAGGAAAGUCCAUGGGUUUUAGGAGCUCUGUGCCAAAAAUGGGGACAAAAACCAAAUAUAUACUUCUUCUUAUAAAUCCCAUAUCACAGCAGCCAACUGCAAUCCUAAAUUACACACAUGUUAAAAGUUUAAGGAUAACCACUAAAAGAAAAGAAUCUGAAUGUAUAUAUCUUUUAAAACAGCAAAAGAGGAAAAGGGAAAGUAAGAAAACUCAGUCAAUAUAAUCGAAGGCAGAAAAGAAGUGUUAAAAACAGGACAACAGGCCCAAAAUGGAGAUGCUUAUGCCAAGCCCCACAUCACCAGACCAAGACUCAAUUACAGUUUCAGCUCUCCCAGAAACAGAAUCUUAAACUGCUCAAUGAGGAAUCAUCUGAUCAGCACUAAUUAAGUAAUCUGCCUGAUAGAUCCCUGCCCUCCACUAAAAGAAAGUAACUUGGCAAUAAGUAACCAACCCACUUUCUUGCCUAGUAUAACUUCCUUAUCCCCAUUCCCUCUGACUACAGUUCCUCAGAGCUCCUUUGUAUGUGCUAGGUUGGAUGCUGCCUGGCUUGUAUAGGUUUUGCUCAAAUAAAUUCAUAACAUUGUUAAUAUGCUUCAGCUUAUCUUUUAACUUAAAUAGACAAAGAAACUAAUUGAUUAUAUAUCAAUAUAUAAUACCAGUAAUAAGUGGAUUCCAAUAAUGAACAUAAGUGACAAGGAUUCAAACCACUGAUUAAGAUAUAGAAAUGCUAAGAUUAAAUAUGAAAUUCAGGGGGCGCCUGGGUGGCGCAGUCGGUUGGGCGUCCGACUUCAGCCAGGUCACGAUCUCGCGGUCCGGGAGUUCGAGCCCCGCGUCGGGCUCUGGGCUGAUGGCUCAGAGCCUGGAGCCUGUUUCUGAUUCCGUGUCUCCCUCUCUCUCUGCCCCUCCCCUGUUCAUGCUCUGUCUCUCUCUCUGUCCCAAAAAUAAAUAAACGUUUAAAAAAAAAAAAUAUGAAAUUCAGCUUUUUGCUUUUUCUGGUAGACACACAGCUUUUUGCUUUUUCUGUGUUUCUUCUAGAACACAGAAAGAUUGAAAGCAAUGAGAUUGGGGGAAAAAAUCCACCUAGGAAUCAUUCUCCAAAAGAAUGAGUGAUGAAGCAAUAUUAAAGUCAGAAAACAUAAAGGAGAUGAUUACAAAAUAAGAAAGGAAAGUUCUGGGGUGGUUGGGUGGCUUAGUCGGUUAAACACUGGACUUAGGUCAGGUCAUGAUCUUGCAAUUCGUAAGUUGGAGUCCCACGUCAGGCUCUCUGCUGUUGGCACAGAUCCCUUGCCUCCCUCUUUCUCUGUCCCUCCCCCUCUUGUUCUCUCUCUUUCUUUCCCUCUCUCUCUUAAAAUAAAUAAAUAAACUUAAAAAAAAAAAAAAAAGGAAGAAUUCUCCAGGAAAAUACAACAGUUUUAAACUUGGAUAUACCUAAUCACAUAGCCUAAAAAUGGAAGGAAGGAAUGAAGGAACCAACGAAGGAAGGGGGGGAAAGAGGAAAGAAGGGAGGGAGGGAGGGAAGAAGGAAGGAGGGGAGAAAGAAAGAAAGAGUUGCCAAAUCCACCGUCAUAGUGAGACAUUUUAUCCAAAAACAGGCUGAGACAAAUGAGUGAAAGUUACAGAAAGGAAGGACAUUGACUCAACCUACACAGGAGUUUUUUUUGAUUUUCAGAGAUGUCCAAAAUUGAAAUGGGCUGCCCUGGGAGGGAGAGCUCCAAAAACAUGGAGGUUUGGCAGAAUCUGCAUGACAGUGAACGAAGCUAUUGGUGGAAUUUGCCAGCGUCAGUUGCCUCAUGAGGGUAGAAACCGUGUCUGUUUUGCUCACUGCUAUAUACCCAAUGACUACAGCAAAGCUUGGCAGAGAAGAGGCACCAGUAGAGGUCUACUAAACGAAUGAAUGAUCUAGAUAAGACAAUGGAUCAAAUAACCUCUAGAGUGGUUUCCAAUGCUAAGAUUCAGUGAUUCGUACAUACCCGUUUCUCUGUUCUUUGCCCCAACUGCACUCUGAGGCCCAGGGUCACCCCAACCCAGGAGACUUGAGGCUGGCCCUGAGAGGCAAGGGCGGGUGAGGAAUGGACAGAAGAGUAACACAGAAGCCCAGAGAAUGGAAGCCAGCUCUGCAAAGAGCUUCCAAGAGUCUUCCUGCCACAGAAAUUCCACUUGGCCACAGUAAUUGCCCUGGCCCUGGGCCUGGAGGAAGGCGGCGGCUGGCCUGCCCAGGGCAGGGCCUUCCAGUCAGCACAUCUUGUCUGUGCUGCUGACAAGGGUGAAAAAGCAAGACAGUGAGUAGGUCACUGGGUCGGUCAGUUCCAUAAAGCCAACCUCUCCCGCACACUACGUUCUGGGACACACAGAAGGAAGGGGAUGAGGUCCCCAGGUGUGAUGAUAUUCAGAGGUGGGGACUCUGAGGGUGAUCAGGUCAUGAGGGUGGGAACCUCACGAAUGGGUUAGUGCCCUUGUAAAAGAGAUCUCAGAGGGCCCCCUUGCCCCUUCCACAGAAGACAGCCACCUAUGAGAGAGGAAAUGGGCCCUCACCGGGCACCAAACCCUCCAGCACCUUGAUCUUGGACUCCCAGCUCUGAAACUGUGAGAAAUACCUAUCUGUUGUUUCUAAGCCCCCCUGUUCAUGGUACUUCGCAAUAGCAGCCAGAAUAGAGUAAGACAGAGCCACUCGAAUGAAUGCUACGUGGAGUCCCUCUCUUCAGGAAGAAAAUCAAAUCUAAUGGAGGACACAUGGCCUCAGCCCCAGUCAGAGCCUGCUGUAUCUCUUGCCCCACCACUCAUGCAAGACCAGAAAAUGGCAGGCCCAGGGACGGGCCCAUUUCUGCGAUGAAUGGAGACUGUGAGUGUGUGGUGCCUACAGACUCUCAGGGGACGUUCCCUCAGCCCUGCCUGCAGGGCGCCCCCUUCCCUCCUUCUUCCCCACCAUGAUGUCUGACCCGCUGGAAUAAAUCCCGAGCCCUGGACCCAUUCCUAACACAGGAGUAUCGGCCCCUUUGUCACGUCCUGCUUGCCCUCUCUCUGUUUUCUUGUUCUUUUUCCCACCCUGUCUGCCCUUCUCCCGCCCCCGUUUCCCAAACUUGCUCCUGAGAGACCAGACCCAGCAGCCCACUGGUGAUCUUGUUUUACAUGAGACAUUUCCAAAAAAGACCAAAAAAUCCUUUCCAGGAAAAUGCCAUUUUUAAAAUUCAGCUCCAGACACCGCGGCAACAUUAGGAAAACAAAGGACUUGGCAGAAAGGUUUUCUGAAUCGGGACUUUCUCUCUAAAAUACCUUUUCCAAAUUGCCUCCAGUGGGAACAACUCUGAGGGUCAGCUCUGGAGCACCCAAUCAAUUUCAGAUAGACUGUGGCUCCUGGUUUUUAUACCAUCUCAGCCUUUCCUGACCUGGGAUCCCCCUGGAACCUUCUCCCAGGCUCAAGCAGGGAGCCCCUCUCCCAAAGGGUCGCCAAAGGAAGUAGCUAUCUCUGCAGGGUCAGGCAAUACUGAUGCUGCUGCCUGCCUGGGACACUCCUCAGCCCCUGUCAUGCCCCCAUCACCAGGCUGGAGGGGCCAGGCUGGGGGUCUGAGAGACAAACUGUGCUUAGUAGGAGCUGUCUUCUCUUAUCAUCCAAGUGAGGGGGACAUACGAUUUCCCCUGGGGCACACAUGGCGGUCUGCAUGUUUCUUUUGCAUGAAUCCGGUAUAAUCGUGUUGAUGUCAUAUAUAUAAUAGGAAUGGCCAUUAUUUAUUAAGCACUUACUAUCGUG
rnacentral:lncRNA from 1 species